rnacentral:rRNA from 1 species
UACGAAGGGGGAGCUAGCGUUGUUCGGAAUUACUGGGCGUAAAGCGUGCGCAGGCGGCUUCUCAAGUCAGGGGUGAAAGCCCAGAGCUCAACUCUGGAAUUGCCUUUGAGACUGAGUGGCUUGAGUACGAGAGAGGUGAAUGGAAUUCCCAGUGUAGAGGUGAAAUUCGUAGAUAUUGGGAAGAACACCGGUGGCGAAGGCGGCGACCUGGUCCUUGACUGACGCUGGAGGCGACGAAAGCGUGGGGAGCAAACAGG